GUGUGUGUUCGUAGGAGCGACCAGGAGAAGAGGGGAGGGAGCUAACCCUAGUUCUUCAAGAAUCUUCAAGUUGAAGCUCAAUUCAGGCCCUAAAUCGAUGCAUGAACACAUAAAAACGAUCACCAAGCUUAGGGGAUCAUGAGUUUAACGCUUAACAAGCUAGGUGGGAGCUUGUGGAGGAAGCGGGUCAAACGGAUCAAGAACGAAAAGAAAAGCGUGGUUUGGAUGCAAGGUAAGUAAAAGCUUACACCCUUUUAUACUAUAAAUCAGUUGUUGACAGCAACAGUUCCGCUACUUGCAGAAAUUAUUUCGAGGUCUUAACCAUUGAGUUUUGACACGAUAUUUGAGUAGAAGUUGGUUUACAACAUAAAGAAUGUUUAGUAAUUUUUAUAGAUUUUUAUAAAGUCGUUUGACGAGCUUUUCGCGGAUGUUUUGUCAAUAAAUUAGUUGUUAACAGCAACAGUUCCGCUACUUGCAGAAAUUAUUUCGAGGUCUUAACCAUCGAUUUUUGACACGAUAUUUGACCAGAACUUGGUUUACAACAUAAAGGAUGUUUAGUAAUUUUUAUAGAAUUUUAUAAAGUCGUUUGACGAGGUUUUCGCGGAUGUUUUGUCAAUAAAUUAGUUGUUAACAGCAACAGUUCCGCUACUUGCAGAAAUUAUUUCGAGGUCUUAACCAUCGAGUUUUGACACGAUAUUUGACCAGAAGUUGGUUUACAACAUAAAGGAUAUUUAGUAAUUUUUAUAGAUUUUUAUAAAGUCGUUUGACGAGGUUUUCGCGGAUGUUUUGUCAAUAAAUUAGUUGUUGACAGCAACAGUUCCGCUACUUGCAGAAAUUAUUUCGAGGUCUUAACCAUCGAGUUUUGACACGAUAUUUGACCAGAAGUUGGUUUACAACAUAAAGGAUGUUUAGUAGUUUUUAUAGAUUUUUAUAAAGUCGUUUGACGAGGUUUUCGCGGAUGUUUUGUCAAUAAAUCAGUUGUUGACAUCCGCUACUUGCAGAAAUUAUUUCGAGGUCUUAACCAUUGAGUUUUGACACGAUAUUUGACCAGAAGUUGGUUUACAACAUAAAGGAUGUUUAGUAAUUUGAUAGAUUUUUUUUUAAAGUUGUUCGACGAGAUUUUCGCGGAUGUUUUGUCAAUAAAUUAGUUGUUGACAGCAACAGUUCCGUUACUUGCAGAAAUUAUUUCGAUGUCUUAACUAUCGAGUUUUGACAUGAUAUUUGGCCAGAAGUUGUUCAACAACAUAAAUAAUGUUUGGUAAGUUUUAUACAUUUUAGACAUAAGCUUUUUGGGUCAAGUGCCUAUAAACGGGUCUUUUCCAUAAAACAACCAACCGAAAUGUAGAAUCCGGGAAAAUCGGUCAAAUAUACUAAAUCCACCACGAGUAUAGUUGUGGUGAAAUGUAAGUAGAUAAUUCAAAUUUGGGAAAAUGAUGGGUGAAAAGAAUGAGCGAAAUUUAAACUUAAAAGUUUAAAUUCUCUAAAUGGGUCAAAACGAAUUACGCGCAUAACUUGGGUAUUGGUUGCGUAAUUCACAAAAGUUAAAAAUCUGAAAUAAAGAUUUUGAAUUAAAUACUUUGUUGUAUGAUUUAUGAUUAACUAGAAACAAGUGUGUUUGAUUAAAUCAUAAACGGGUCAAAAGUGUUAAAAAGGGAUUUCAAGCCGAGAACUUGAAAUCUGAAUUUUUGAAGUAGUCUAAUAUCAGGUAGUGACUCCAUGAGAUGGAGAAUUAAAUUUCGAACGCGUAGGAAAAAGAGUCGGGUAAAACGGACUUGUAAAUAAAAAGUUAUGGCACUUUAAAGUUCGUUUUACGACUAAAACUAUAGCUGGACAGACAUGCAGGUUUCAGAGACGGACCUGCUGGAAAAUGGUUUCCCCCGCGCCACGCGACGGAGGACAUAGCCCGGGGCGCGACACGCGACAACCGUCGUGACACGCGACAGGUAUAUUAUACAGCAACGGAAGACGAUCAAACUCGAAGAAGAACCGAACACAUGAAAAAGAAGUUUCCGCACAUUGUUUCGUCAUAAAUUUUUAAAUGACAAAUCCUUUUACAUCAUGUUGUAUUACUUUUAAUGUAAAAGUUUUAAAUAAACCCGUAUUU
rnacentral:lncRNA from 1 species